rnacentral:rRNA from 1 species
GUGUCAGCCGCCGCGGUAACACGUAGGGCGCAAGCGUUGUCCGGAAUUAUUGGGCGUAAAGAGCUCGUAGGUGGUCUGCUACGUCCGCUGUGAAAAUCCAAGGCUUAACCUUGGGCUUGCAGUGGAUACGGGCAGACUAGAGGUAGGUAGGGGAGAAUGGAAUUCCCGGUGUAGCGGUGAAAUGCGCAGAUAUCGGGAGGAACACCGGUGGCGAAGGCGGUUCUCUGGGCCUUACCUGACACUGAGGAGCGAAAGCGUGGGGAGCGAACAGGAUUAGAUACCCUGGUAGUCC